UCACGGGGCAUGCAUCAGUACGGCGAGUGAGCGGCAAGAGCUCAAAUUUGAAAGCUGGCUCCUUCGGGGUCCGCAUUGUAAUUUGCAGAGGAUGCUUCGGGUGCGGCCCCUGUCUAAGUACCCUGGAACGGGUCGUCAGAGAGGGUGAGAAUCCCGUCUGGGAUAGGGUGUCCGCGCCCGUGUGAAGCUCCUUCGACGAGUCGAGUUGUUUGGGAAUGCAGCUCUAAAUGGGUGGUAAAUUUCAUCUAAAGCUAAAUACUGGCCGGAGACCGAUAGCGCACAAGUAGAGUGAUCGAAAGAUGAAAAGCACUUUGAAAAGAGAGUUAAAAAGCACGUGAAAUUGUUGAAAGGGAAGCGCUUGCGACCAGACUCGCCCCCGGGGUUCAGCCGGCAUUCGUGCCGGUGUACUUCCCCGGGGGCGGGCCAGCGUCGGUUUGGGCGGCCGGUCAAAGGCCCCUGGAAUGUAGUACCCUCCGGGGUACCUUAUAGCCAGGGGUGCAAUGCGGCCAGCCUGGACCGAGGAACGCGCUUCGGCACGGACGCUGGCAUAAUGGUCGCAAACGACCCGUCUUGAACCACGGACCAA
rnacentral:rRNA from 1 species